UAUAAAGUAAUAGCUGAGGGUCCUCUGUGUUCUGUGUGCAGACCGUAAACCUCUGAUUUGCCCAGCUUAACUCAAUUAAAAGUAAAUAAGGCAGCCAUGACCUGCAGAUGAACCACUUGCUCAGCUAGAAAGGCAUUGUGCGGUCUACACUGUGGCGCCUGAGGUGGCACCCCAGCAGCGAGAGAGGAGACAGAAGAGAACGACAAGCAUGGCGGCUGCAGCCAUGUGGACUGACCACUAAAGCACUGUAGCUAACAUCUCAUGAGAGAAGUGUCUCGGCCCUGGGCUCAUAGCACAGGAUAUAAAUAUCCCACGCAGGGUUCAGCUGCAGUGGCAUGGGGCAGGAAGAGGAGGAGGCCAGAGCAAAGGCAGGAAACACUCAUUGCUGCAUACACCCAAAAUGUGUGAAGCCUUCAGCAGCCCUGUAGAGAACAAACACCUUCUCCCCCCCCCCAAAAAAAAAAAAC